GACGAACGCUGGCGGCGUGCUUAACACAUGCAAGUCGAACGGAAAGGCCCUGCUUUUGUGGGGUGCUCGAGUGGCGAGCGGGCGAGUAACACGUAGGCAACCUGCCCUCAAGACUGGGAUAACUACCGGAAACGGUAGCUAAUACCGGAUAAUUUCUUUCCUCUCCUGAAGAGAGAAUGAAAGGCGGAGCAAUCUGCUGCUUGGGGAUGGGCCUGCGGCGCAUUAGCUAGUUGGUGGGGUAAUGGCUCACCAAGGCGACGAUGCGUAGCCGACCUGAGAGGGUGAACGGCCACACUGGGACUGAGACACGGCCCAG
rnacentral:rRNA from 1 species